AACAACUCAUUCUUUUUUUGAUUUCACCUUUAUUUAACCAGGUGGCCAGUUGAGAACAAGUUCUCAUUUACAACUGUGACCUGGCCAAGAUAAAGCAAAGCAGUGCGACACAAACAACACAGAGUUACACAUGGGAUAAACAAACGUACAGUCAAUAACACAAUAGAAAAGUCUAUAUACAGUGUGUGCAAAUGUAGUAAGAUUAGGGAGGUCAGGCAAUAAAUAGGCCAUAGUGGCACAAUAAUUACAAUUUAGCAAUUAAACACUUGAGUGAUAGAUGUGCAGAAGAUGAAUGUGCAAGUAGAGAUACUGGGGUGCAAAGGAGGAAAAGAAAAAAGAACAAUCUGGGAAAGAGGUAGUUGGGUGGGCUAUUUACAAAUGGGCUAUGUACAGCUUCAGUGAUUUUUGCAAUGUUACAUGACACAUGGCAUGCAAUAACAUGCCAUGUGUCAUGUAACAGUGUGGAUGCCAGGUGUAAUGUAACAUUGUGGACGCUAGGUGUAAUGUAACAGUGUGGACGCUAGGUGUAAUGUAACAGUGUGGACACUAGGUGUAAUGUAACAGUGUGGAUGCCAGGUGUAAUGUAACAGUGUGGAUGCCAGGUGUAAUGUAACAGUGUGGAUGCCAGGUGUAAUGUAACAUUGUGGACGCUAGGUGUAAUGUAACAGUGUGGACGCUAGGUGUAAUGUAACAGUGUGGACACUAGGUGUAAUGUAACAGUGUGGACGCUAGGUGUAAUGUAACAGUGUGGACACUAGGUGUAAUGUAACAGUGUGGACACUAGGUGUAAUGUAACAGUGUGGACGCUAGGUGUAAUGUAACAGUGUGGACACUAGGUGUAAUGUAACAGUGUGGAUGCCAGGUGUAAUGUAACAUUGUGGACGCUAGGUGUAAUGUAACAGUGUGGACACUAGGUGUAAUGUAACAGUGUGGACACUAGGUGUAAUGUAACAGUGUGGACGCUAGGUGUAAUGUAACAGUGUGGACACCAGGUGUAAUGUAACAGUGUGGACGCUAGGUGUAAUGUAACAGUGUGGACGCUAGGUGUAAUGUAACAGUGUGGACGCUAGGUGUAAUGUAACAGUGUGGACGCUAGGUGUAAUGUAACAGUGUGGACGCUAGGUGUAAUGUAACAGUGUGGACACCAGGUGUAUUGUAACAGUGUGGACGCUAGGUGUAAUGUAACAGUGUGGACGCUAGGUGUAAUGUAACAGUGUGGACGAUAGGUGUAAUGUAACAGUGUGGACGAUAGGUGUAAUGUAACAGUGUGGACGCUAGGUGUAAUGUAACAGUGUGGACACUAGGUGUAAUGUAACAGUGUGGACGCUAGGUGUAAUGUAACAGUGUGGACGCUAGGUGUAAUGUAACAGUGUGGACGCUAGGUGUAAUGUAACAGUGUGGACGCUAGGUGUAAUGUAACAGUGUGGACGCUAGGUGUAAUGUAACAGUGUGGACACCAGGUGUAUUGUAACAGUGUGGACGCUAGGUGUAAUGUAACAGUGUGGACGCUAGGUGUAAUGUAACAGUGUGGACGAUAGGUGUAAUGUAACAGUGUGGAUGCCAGGUGUAAUGUAACAGUGUGGAUGCCAGGUGUAAUGUAACAGUGUGGACACCAGGUGUAAUGUAACAGUGUGGACGCUAGGUGUAAUGUAACAGUGUGGACGCUAGGUGUAAUGUAACAGUGUGGACGCUAGGUGUAAUGUAACAGUGUGGACACCAGGUGUAUUGUAACAGUGUGGACGCUAGGUGUAAUGUAACAGUGUGGACGCUAGGUGUAAUGUAACAGUGUGGACGAUAGGUGUAAUGUAACAGUGUGGAUGCCAGGUGUAUUGUAACAGUGUGGACGCUAUGUGUAAUGUAACAGUGUGGAUGCCAGGUGUAUUGUAACAGUGUGGACGCUAGGUGUAAUGAAACAGUGUGGACGAUAGGUGUAAUGUAACAGUGUGGAUGCCAGGUGUAAUGUAACAGUGUGGAUGCCAGGUGUAAUGUAACAGUGUGGACGCUAGGUGUAAUGUAACAGUGUGGAUGCCAGGUGUAUUGUAACAGUGUGGAUGCCAGGUGUAAUGUAACAGUGUGGAUGCCAGGUGUAAUGUAACAGUGUGGAUGCCAGGUGUAUUGUAACAGUGUGGAUGCCAGGUGUAAUGUAACAGUGUGGAUGCCAGGUGUAAUGUAACAGUGUGGACGCUAGGUGUAAUGUAACAGUGUGGAUGCCAGGUGUAUUGUAACAGUGUGGAUGCCAGGUGUAAUGUAACAGUGUGGAUGCCAGGUGUAAUGUAACAGUGUGGACGCUAGGUGUAAUGUAACAGUGUGGACGCUAGGUGUAAUGUAACAGUGUGGACGCUAGGUGUAAUGUAACAGUGUGGAUGCCAGGUGUAAUGUAACAGUGUGGAUGCCAGGUGUAAUGUAACAGUGUGGAUGCCAGGUGUAAUGUAACAGUGUGGAUGCCAGGUGUAAUGUAACAGUGUGGACGCUAGGUGUAAUGUAACAGUGUGGAUGCCAGGUGUAUUGUAACAGUGUGGAUGCCAGGUGUAAUGUAACAGUGUGGAUGCCAGGUGUAAUGUAACAGUGUGGACGCUAGGUGUAAUGUAACAGUGUGGACGCUAGGUGUAAUGUAACAGUGUGGAUGCCAGGUGUAAUGUAACAGUGUGGAUGCCAGGUGUAAUGUAACAGUGUGGAUGCCAGGUGUAAUGUAACAGUGUGGAUGCCAGGUGUAAUGUAACAGUGUGGACGCUAGGUGUAAUGUAACAGUGUUGACGCUAGGUGUAAUGUAACAGUGUGGACGCUAGGUGUAAUGUAACAGUGUGGAUGCCAGGUGUAAUGUAACAGUGUGGAUGCCAGGUGUAAUGUAACAGUGUGGAUGCCAGGUGUAAUGUAACAGUGUGGAUGCCAGGUGUAAUGUAACAGUGUGGACGCUAGGUGUAAUGUAACAGUGUGGACGCCAGGUGUAAUGUAACAGUGUGGACGCUAGGUGUAAUGUAACAGUGUGGACGCCAGGUGUAUUGUAACAGCGUGGACGCUAGGUGUAAUGUAACAGUGUGGACACCAGGUGUAUUGUAACAGUGUGGAUGCCAGGUGUAAUGUAAAAGUGUGGAUGCCAGGUGUAAUGUAACAGUGUGGACGCUAGGUGUAAUGUAACAGUGUGGACGCCAGGUGUAAUGUAACAGUGUGGAUGCCAGGUGUAAUGUAACAGUGUGGAUGCCAGGUGUAAUGUAACAGUGUGGACGCUAGGUGUAAUGUAACAGUGUGGACGCUAGGUGUAAUGUAACAGUGUGGACGCUAGGUGUAAUGUAACAGUGUGGACACCAGGUGUAAUGUAACAGUGUGGACGCCAGGUGUAAUGCAACAGUGUGGACACCAGGUGUAAUGUAACAGUGUGGACACCAGGUGUAAUGUAACAUUGUGGACGCCAGGUGUAUUGUAACAGUGUGGAUGCCAGGUGUAAUGUAACAGUGUGGAUGCCAGGUGUAAUGUAACAGUGUGGACGCUAGGUGUAAUGUAACAGUGUGGACGCCAGGUGUAAUGUAACAGUGUGGAUGCCAGGUGUAAUGUAACAGUGUGGACGCUAGGUGUAAUGUAACAGUGUGGACGCUAGGUGUAAUGUAACAGUGUGGACACCAGGUGUAAUGUAACAUUGUGGACACCAGGUGUAAUGUAACAGUGUGGACACCAGGUGUAUUGUAACAGUGUGGACGCCAGGUGUAAUGCAACAGUGUGGACACCAGGUGUAAUGUAACAGUGUGGACACCAGGUGUAAUGUAACAGUGUGGACGCCAGGUGUAAUGUAACAGUGUGGACGCCAGGUGUAAUGUAACAGUGUGGACGCUAGGUGUAGCAAUUGUCUCCCAUAUGGAAAUAACUCUGAACCAUGCCAAUGUUCUGCCAACCAUGUCUUGUCAAUAUCUCCUAGUUGUCUUAUGUGGGAUUUUCUUCAUAACUUUAGGGGACCUCUAUCUAACCACAGAGUUACCACCCAGGGGUUCAUUGUUUGUUUUAUUCCUCUGCUAACAAGCAGGAUGUACACAAGGAAAGGAGAAUAACUUUCACCCUAAUUGAUGUCACUAAUAACAUCACACUCCAAAACAUGCAUGCUAACGAAAGCAAUGAAACGCUCCCUGGACAUGUCACGGUGUAAUACCUAAUCACUCAUCCUAAACACUCCGAAUUACCAUCAGGAAUGACCAUCUGAAACAUAACUGAUCAAUUCAUCCAUAAUCAUGUGAUAAUCCAUAAUCAUGUGAUAAUCCAUAAUCAUGUGAUAAUCCAUAAACGUGCACCAUAUGGAUGACCCCUUUAACCAGACAAUUAUGUUUGAAAAACAUCUGUUCAGGAAUGCCAGCUCAUCAAAAUAUGCAUGUUCAGAACAUCAUUCAUGACAUCAUCUGGAUGAUGACAUCUACAUAUAUCUUCAUUCUAAAGGACACAUAUCGAAACAAAUUUAUGAUUUCCUUCACACAAUCAUACACACAUUCUGUGUUUCACUUCUCAUCUGACAUAAUCUCUAUGCUCACUCUGAUCAGCACUGUGUAAUCUGUGUAAUCCAUCUCUGUUUAACUCACAUGCCUCCUCCUUCAUGCAGUACCCUGUGUGUGUCUGUAGGGGGUGCUGGCUCUGGUCCUGGUGGUGCUCUGCCUUAUGGGGGCCAGCCUGUGGUAACUGCUGGGCUGUGGCCUGAUGGUGGGAAGUUGGGCGGGUACGGCCCAGAUCCCUACGGGUUUGCAUAGCCUAUGGGGCUGGGGCAUGAUACUGGCCUGGGUAAAUACACUCUAAAGAGAGGGGAGGGUGAACAAAGGAAGAACAAGAGAAAAUAGAGGCAGAAAAAGGACUGAAAAAUAAAGAGGUAGAGAAAGGGUGAAAAGUAGAGAUGAAGAGAAGAGAAGGAUUAGACAAAGAAAAAAGCAAGUCAGUGAUGAACACUGAAGCAGCAACAGAGGGACUCAAAGGUCACUGUCAAAAACUCAAGGGUCACUGUCACAGGAAAGCCAAUAAUCAUUGUCAUUUUACACAUUUGCAUACAGUUGAUGCCAUAAUUGAGUCAUAUGUUUUCCAUGCAUUGAUGUGGUCUGUGGGGUGGGAGGAGAGAUGAUGAGACUCUAUAAGCGACCC